rnacentral:rRNA from 1 species
CUCCCGGCACGGGGAGGUAGUGACGAAAAAUAACGAUACGGGACUCAUCCGAGGCCCCGUAAUCGGAAUGAGUACGCUCUAAACACGUUUCCGAAAAUCAAUUGGAGGGUAAGUCUGGUGCCAGCAGCCGCGGUAAUUCCAGCUCCAAUAGCGUAUAUUAAAGUUGUUGCGGUUAAAAAGCUCGUAGUCGAAUCUGUGUCCCGCGCCGCUGGUUCAUCGCUCGCGGUGUUCAACUGGCGUGUCUCGCGGGACGUCCUGCCGGUGGGCUUGCGUAUCGUUUCGGCGGUGCGUGGCCCAACUCGUUUUCGCCUUGCGCGCAUUCGAAUCCCAUCGCGGUGCUCUUUAUUGAGUGUCGAGGUGGGCCGGCACGUUUACUUUGAACAAAUUAGAGUGCUUAAAGCAGGCCAAUUUUGCCUGAAUAUUCUGUGCAUGGAAUAAUGGAAUAGGACCUCGGUUCUAUUUUGUUGGUUUUCGGAACCCCGAGGUAAUGAUUAAUAGGAACGGAUGGGGGCAUUCGUAUUGCGACGUUAGAGGUGAAAUUCUUGGAUCGUCGCAAGACGGACAGAAGCGAAAGCAUUUGCCAAAAACGUUUUCAUUGAUCAAGAACGAAAGUUAGAGGUUCGAAGGCGAUCAGAUACCGCCCUAGUUCUAACCAUAAACGAUGCCAGCUAGCGAUCCGCCGACGUUCCUCCGAUGACUCGGCGGGCAGCUUCCGGGAAACCAAAGCUUUUGGGUUCCGGGGGAAGUAUGGUUGCAAAGCUGAAACUUAAAGGAAUUGACGGAAGGGCACCACCAGGAGUGGAGCCUGCGGCUUAAUUUGACUCAACACGGGAAACCUCACCAGGCCCGGACACCGGAAGGAUUGACAGAUUGAGAGCUCUUUCUUGAUUCGGUGGGUGGUGGUGCAUGGCCGU